GGCGGCGUGCCUAACACAUGCAAGUCGAGCGAGGAGAUUCCUCGGGAUGAUCCUAGCGGCGGACGGGUGAGUAACACGUGGGCAACCUGCCUCAUAGAGAGGAAUAGCCUUCCGAAAGGGAGAUUAAUACCUCAUAACAUUGCAGUUUCGCAUGGAACAGCAAUUAAAGGAGUAAUCCGCUAUGAGAUGGGCCCGCGGCGCAUUAGCUAGUUGGUGAGGUAACGGCUCACCAAGGCGACGAUGCGUAGCCGACCUGAGAGGGUGAUCGGCCACAUUGGGACUGAGACACGGCCCAGACUCCUACGGGAGGCAGCAGUGGGGAAUAUUGCACAAUGGGGGAAACCCUGAUGCAAGCAACGCCGCGUGAGUGAUGACGGCCUUCGGGUUGUAAAGCUCUGUCUUCAGGGACGAUAAUGACGGUACCUGAGGAGGAAGCCACGGCUAACUACGUGCCAGCAGCCGC
rnacentral:rRNA from 1 species